AAAAAAGACAACCCUCGGUUUCCGUGUCCAACGUUUGACAAUCCAUCUUAUUUGAAAAAAAUUAUGAAAAAAAUUAAAAAGACAAGUCAUGCAUAAAGUAUUAAUCAUGUUUUAUCAUCUAACAACAAUGAAAACACUAAUUAUAAAAAAAUUUCAUAUAAGACGGACGGUCAAACGUUGGACACGGAAACCCAGGGUUUGUCUUUUU
rnacentral:pre_miRNA from 1 species